UUGCUUCUUUUCCACAGCUGAUAAGGAUGAACUCUAUCUUAACUUGGUUCUUGAGUAUGUACCUGAAACUGUUCACCGUGUUAUCAAACACUACAACAAGCUGAACCAACGGAUGCCAUUGAUACUUGUGAAGCUUUAUACAUAUCAGAUUUUCAGGGCAUUAUCUUACAUACACCGCACCAUUGGAGUGU